AUACCAAAAAUUCAGUAUUAUGUCAAAAAAAACUUAAAAAUGUGGUAUUUCAAAGAAUUGCCCAUAAGUUUAUUUCUUAGGUGGUGUUAUUCAAUUAUGGAGUUAAAGUCAAUUCUUUAAGCUUUAGACUUGUUUUCUGAUAUUGAUUUUAAGAAUAUGUUUGUAUGAAUUUCAAAAUCUCUGCAAUAUGUCUUGGAUUUUGAUUCUAGUGAUUUACUCAUGAAACUCCAAAGAGGUUUCAUUUCAAAUGAAUUAAUAUACAAAGAUUUUACAAGUCUUUUAGUUUUUAAUAACGCUGGAUUUUAAUGAAAUAUUUAAAAUCUUAAUUGAAUAACAUCAAACUUUAAAAUCUAUUAAGCAUGAUUUACAAAGAUGAGUUCCAAUAACACUAAAUUUUAAAGUUGGAUAUAGAAUCAUUAGUUGAAUAACAGUGGAUUCGGCUUGGAUUUCAAUUCUAUUAAAAUCCAUUAACGAAUAACACCCCCUUAGGUUCUAUUACGUGGUAAUCACAUGAUAAAAGAAACGAAUGGUUAAUGGUGUUUUAUGAUGCAUAUGGUA
rnacentral:sRNA from 1 species